UGACUGUUUGUGAAAUAAAUUGGCAACAGUGUCUUUGCUCUCAUGGUGUCUGCUUACCUGUGCAGCCAUUUUUCCAGAGUGUGGGGAGCAGUGGACUUGAGGAAGGAGUCUACCAGCCCUUUCCAGACUCCCCCUCAACCCCAACCCCAGGAAGCCGUAAGAUGAUCGCUUGCAGGGCCCUCACCGUCCUCACCUGGACUCAUGUGCGAAUAGAUGAGGGACAUGUGCCUGCCAUGUUUGCCCAGAGCUCGGUGUUCAGGGAACUGAUUACAGGGGUGGCAAAAGCCACAGGGGCCACACAUUUGCUGAGCUGCUUCCAGGUGCGAACGGCGCUUGUUUGGGCAUCAGAAACAGCACGGUGGAUACUCGGAGUCCUGUCCUUUGAAAGGAGUUUGAUUUAUCAUCAGGAGAAAUUUGUUGCUUUUGCAUCCAGCAUCCAGCCACGUAUCCACUCAUCUGUUUUAUGGGGAAAUCAGGGCUGCGGGAGCACCCAGGAGAGCUGCCGACCCAGACAUUUCCUGGGAAAUGCGUUGCUGAGAUGGAGGCCUGCAGCCUGCCCAGGCCCUGAGGGGAGUGGUUCAGUGGAGCAGAGCUGGGGGCUGGGGGCUGGGAGAUAUGGGACCAGUUGCUUCUUGAGGGGGCUCAGGGGCAGAGCAGGAGGGUUGGGAAGGGGCCGGGUGGGAGCCAUAGACAUGAGGACCUCAUCCUCCAGCAGCGCUGAGCUCUGAGUAGGCCGGGGUGUUUGCUUGUUGCUGUCCCCGUGGUACUGGGGAGAGGCUAGGCACAGAGACCCUCCGAGUAGGUCACAUGCUGGGGGAAUCUGGGCCUAUGGCUAUGCAGCUGGAGAGGAAGGGAUAGUGUGGGGAGCUUGGACUUGGCCGUUUGGGACAGGGGGAUGGGAGAGGCAGAGGUCCUGCCUCAGGCCUCCAUAGGAGUGACAUUUGCUGGUGUCAGAAGCUUGGCAAGAGGGGAGGAUGAUCAGACCCUGCAUGGACAGUUCGAAUUGGAGCUCUCUGCAGAGUCCAGGAAGAGAGGUCUGGAUGGGAGGGAAGCCAUGGGGUGGAAAAGAUAGCUUCCAAUGGAAGGCAGUGAAAACUCGCCAUAAGUGAAGGAGAAGAAGGAGGCCAAGGAGAUGGGGCAGGAAUGGCAGCCGGCAGCCAGGCGGUCAGUGGAGCAGGUGCUCAGGAGGCCCACAGGAGAGCUUCGUGGAAGGAGUGGACAGUGUCUGAGGCAAGGGGCAAAAGGCAUCUGCUGGAGCUGGUGACCCCAGCUUGGUGCCCCCCAAAGCCAGAGUACGAGGCUGAGAGGAUGCAGGUGUCCUCCUAGGAGGUUUGAGUCAGAAGGCACGAGGCAGAAGCAGUGGGGGAGGACUCCCUCAGUAGAGCGAGGAGGAGGCCCCUCAUCCAAGAGGAGGUUGGAGCACAGGGGGGUCUAGGUUUGCAGUUUCGGGACCGGUAGCUGAGGGGUCCCAGGGCCUUUCUUCUGUGAAGGAGAAUGUGUCCACCGUGGGGAGGGGGUCGGGAGAGAGAGAUACUUCAGAGUGGACAGGGCUGAGAAAGCUUUAUGGGCCGCGAAAGGCAGAGUAGUUGUUGGUGGAUGAGGGUGGCUGUGGCAGGUGGCGUUUCAGGUGAGACAGCUCGGGGCCCAGAAAGACACUGGGAGGAGGAGAGCUCUGCUCUCCAGAGAAACAGGAGCAGAGAGGAAAACAGAGCCGCAGCGAGCGGCUUGUGGUCUGGGGAUGAAGCCCAGGUUGACAGCAUCCUCUGCUUCGCUGGUGGAGGUGGGGGCAUCAUUCUCACACCUGUGCUGGGUCCUGUCCCUGCCAGCCAAGGGAGACCAGGACCCUGCCACUGUUGCGCUCAGGAUAGUCCAGAACUGUCAGAUCUUUUCUGUUGAAGUUUAAUUUCUAAUACACUUGUAUUUAAAAUCAGGUUGCAGAUUUUAAAGAUGCCCUUGCCAGAGUAUAUGGAGUGAUACCCAAAAUCCAGUGCCUUCCACCAAGCCAGGAUGAGGAAGUACAGACAAUUGGUCAGAUAGAACUGUGCCUCACUAAGCAAGACCAGCAGCUGCAAAACUGCACCGAGCCGGGGGAGCAGCCGUCCCCCAAGCAGGAAGUCUGGCUGGCAAAUGGGGCCGCCGAGAGCCGGGGUCUGAGAGUCUGUGAAGAUGGCCCAGUCUUCUAUCCCCCACCUAAAAAGACCAAGCAUUGAUGCCCAAGUUUUGGAAAUAUUCUGUUUUAAAAAGCAAGAGAAAUUCACAAACUGCAGCUUUCUAAAAAAC
rnacentral:lncRNA from 1 species